rnacentral:rRNA from 1 species
CCUACGGGUGGCAGCAGUGAGGAAUAUUGGUCAAUGGGCGCGAGCCUGAACCAGCCAAGUAGCGUGAAGGAUGACUGCCCUACGGGUUGUAAACUUCUUUUAUAAAGGAAUAAAGUGAGGCAAGUGUGCCUUUUUGUAUGUACUUUAUGAAUAAGGAUCGGCUAACUUCGUGCCAUCAGCCGCGGUAAUAAGGUGGAUCCGAGCGUUAUCCGGAUUUAUUGGGUUUAAAGGGAGCGUAGAUGGGUUGUUAAGUCAGUUGUGAAAGUUUGCGGCUCAACCGUACAAUUGCAAUUGAUACUGGCAGGCUUGAGUACAGUUGAGGUAGGUGGAAUUCGUGGUGUAGCGGUGAAAUGCUUAGAGAUCACGAAGAACUCCGAUUGCGAAGGCAGCUUACUAAACUGCCACUGACAUUGAUGCUCGAAAGUGUGGGUAGCAAACAGGAUUAGAUACCCUGGUAGUC